rnacentral:rRNA from 1 species
AUGAGCACCACGCCCAGCUCGCAGUUGCGUUUGCAGCUGCUGCAACUGCUGCUUUUGCCAGUAAUAAUCCUACUAGUCAUCCUUGCCGCCGCCGCUGAAGAGCGGCUGCCAAUGGGACUUCCGGACUGCCCCGACAUGUGCGGCAACAUCAGCAUCCCCUUCCCAUUCGGCAUCGGGUACGGCUGCUUCCGUGAUGGCUUCGAGGUCCUGUGCAACCACACCCCCGAAGGCCAUCGCGCCUUCCUUGCUGACAAGAGAAUAGUCAAGCGCACGGGCGAGGGCUAUGAGUCGGAGUCGGCUAAUCCUUCGGCUCCGCCUUCAAAGGACCUACAGUGGUCGCAGUCGCCGCUAGAGCUGGUGAGCAUAUCACUCGCCACCGGUGAGGUGCGAGCGUACGCAGCGAUCGCUUACCGCUGCAGGAGAGAUGACAACCGGACCUUCUGCGUGGAACAAGAUUUGAUGUUCGCCCGUACGCUUUUCGACUUGUCGAUUAAAGGUACUAAUAUUCUUAUAGGUGUUGGCUGGAGUGUCGAGCCUUUGCUGGACAGUAAUACUGGUUCGGCGGACCACUUAUCUUGCAAGGCACAAGAUAUGUUUCCACCUGCGGUUAAUGGGUCCUGCGAGGGGUAUGGCUGCUGCGACAUGCCCUUCCCGCCGGGCGAGUAUCGCCCCGGCAAGGCUUUCGGAUGGCUUGUCGCGCGAGAAAACCUCAUGCCGCACAGCUACGACUUGGAAACCAAGCCGUGCUCCUACGCCAUGCUGGUGGAGAAGUCAUGGUACAACUUCUCCACGCCCGACUUGUACGGCAACAUGACGCUACUCAAAAAGAACCCCCGGGGCGUUACCCUCGUGCUUGAUUUUGCCGCCGGGAACACUUCUUGUCCGGCGGAAGGUCAACCGCGGCCUCCCGGCUACGCUUGCGUCAGCGGCAACAGCUCUUGUGUCAACGCAACAGUUGCUCCUGGCUAUAUCUGCAGGUGUUGGGACCAUUACGCUGGCAACUCUUACAUCACUCACGGAUGCCAAGACAUUGAUGAGUGCAAGCUCCCCGAUAUCUGUGCAAAUGGCGGGGUCUGCAAAAACAAGCCAGGAGGCUAUGACUGCCCAUGCAGGAUGGGAAUGAAAAACGGUGGCGAACGGGGAAACUGAGCGAGGGCUUUUGGUGCUCGGCCUACAGGCAGGCCGGAAUCUGGUGCAAUAGGUGGUAUUCUUCUAAUGGCGAUUAUAUCAUUUCUUAUUAUUCUUCACAAAGAGAAAAAGAAGACGAAGGAAUUCUACAAAAAGAAUGGUGGCCCUAUAUUAGAGAUGGCAGAUGUUAUUAAACUUUUCAAAAAGGGGGAGCUCAAGCCAAUUUUAAAGAGUAGCAACUUGAUUGGAAAAGGUUGCUUUGGUGAAGUUUACAAGGGUCUUCUUGACAAUAAAUUAGUUGCAAUAAAGAAGCCGAUUAAUGGUAGUGUGCUAGAGAGUGAACAAUUUGCAAAUGAAGUCAUCAUCCAAUCUCAAGUCAUUCACAAGAAAAAUGUUAGGCUCAUUGGUUGUUGCCUUGAAGUUGAUGCCCCCAUGCUAGUCUACGAGUUCAUCUCCCAAGGUAGCCUCCAUGACAUCCUUCACAACAACAAUAACAAGGUAGCUCUCAACUUGAAUACACGUUUAAGUAUUGCUGCACAAUCUGCGGAUGGUCUAGCUUAUAUGCAUUCAAAAGCCAAUAUUACAAUUCUACAUGGUGAUGUGAAACCAGCAAAUAUACUAUUGGAUGAUAACUUUGUACCCAAGGUUUCGGACUUUGGUAUAUCUAGGUUGAUUCAGAGAGACAAAGAACACACUGGAUCAGUCAUCGGUGACAUGAAUUAUAUGGAUCCAGUAUAUCUACAAGAAGGCCUACUCACUGAAAAAAGUGAUGUCUAUAGUUUCGGGAUUGUGAUCCUGGAGCUUAUUAGUAGCAGGAGGGCCAUACAUUCUGAGAAUAAAGCUUGGUAAAGAGCUUUCUUGAAGCUCACAAAAAACAUAAGAAAGUGACUGAGUUUUUUGACAAGGACAUUACAAUAACAAAAGAUUUGGAGCUUCUUGAUAGUCUAGCAGGUAUGGUCGUGGAAUGCCUUAGCCUUGAUGUAGACCAAAGGCCAACGAUGAUGGAGGUAGCUGAGUGGCUCCUCAUACUGGGCCGAUCUCGUAAUGUGUAGGAUGUUUGCCUCUAA